AUACUGACCUGGCAGGGGAGAUACCAUGGUCAAGAAUAUGGUUUUCUUAAGGCAUGGAUUAUCCUUUGUACUCCAGAUAAGAUGACCCCUGUGAGUGUGGGGAACUUGACUGUGUAAAUUCUAGAUGUUGGGGGAUUGUAUUUGUGCUCUCUCCUA